UUUAAAACAAUGAUGAGAAGUAGUAAGGUGGAAGCUUUUUUAGAGAGUGUGUGGUUGGUGAAAACACAUGAAGAUUAGAAACCUGAACUUAGCUCUGAGUUUGCUAUUAUAGCCGGGAUCAACCCGUUAUCAUGAGAUAGAGAUGCUAGAUUUAUUUAGCAUAAAAAUAGGUGGUACCACGUUAGAAAUCAACGUCCUAUAA
rnacentral:ncRNA from 1 species